rnacentral:rRNA from 1 species
GACGAACGCUGGCGGCGUGCUUAACACAUGCAAGUCGAACGAGAAAGCCCUUCGGGGUAAGUACAGUGGCGAACGGGUGAGUAACACGUGGGCAACCUGCCCCAGAGAGCGGGACAACCCGGGGAAACCCGGGCUAAUACCGCAUGAUGCGUCUCCACUUAAGUGGAGCCGCCAAAUGGUAGCUUCGGCCUCCGCUCUGGGAUGGGCCCGAGCCGGAUUAGCUAGUUGGUUGGGGUAACGGCCCACCAAGGCGACGAUCCGUAGCUGGUCUGGGAGGACGAUCAGCCACACUGGGACUGAGACACGGCCCAGACUCCUACGGGAGGCAGCAGUGGGGAAUCUUGCGCAAUGGGCGAAAGCCUGACGCAGCAACGCCGCGUGGGGGAAGAAGGCCUUCGGGUUGUAAACCUCUUUCAGUAGGGACGAAGCUUCCGGGGUUAAUAGCCUACGGGGUGACGGUACCUACAGAAGAAGCCCCGGCUAACUACGUGCCAGCAGCCGCAGUAA